rnacentral:rRNA from 1 species
GUACACUCCUACGGGAGGCAGCAGUGGGGAAUUUUGGACAAUGGGCGAAAGCCUGAUCCAGCAAUGCCGCGUGCAGGAUGAAGGCCUUCGGGUUGUAAACUGCUUUUGUACGGAACGAAAAAGCUCCUUCUAAUACAGGGGGCCCAUGACGGUACCGUAAGAAUAAGCACCGGCUAACUACGUGCCAGCAGCCGCGGUAAUACGUAGGGUGCGAGCGUUAAUCGGAAUUACUGGGCGUAAAGCGUGCGCAGGCGGUUAUGUAAGACAGAUGUGAAAUCCCCGGGCUCAACCUGGGAACUGCAUUUGUGACUGCAUGGCUAGAGUACGGUAGAGGGGGAUGGAAUUCCGCGUGUAGCAGUGAAAUGCGUAGAUAUGCGGAGGAACACCGAUGGCGAAGGCAAUCCCCUGGACCUGUACUGACGCUCAUGCACGAAAGCGUGGGGAGCAAACAGGAUUAGAUACCCGAGUAGUCCCAUGA